rnacentral:rRNA from 1 species
GAUGAACGCUGGCGGCGUGCCUAACACAUGCAAGUCGUACGAGCUCGAUCUUCGGAACGGGUUAGUGGCGCACGGUGAGUAACACGUGGGUGACCUACCCCAGAGUGGGGGAUAACUCUCGAAAGAGAGGCUAAUACCGCAUACACUCGGUCAUUCAUUUGGCCGAGCAAAGCUCCGGCGCUUUGGGACGGGCCUGCGUCCGAUUAGCUAGUUGGUAGGGUAAUGGCUUACCAAGGCUUUGAUCGAUAGCUGGUCUGAGAGGACGAUCAGCCACACUGGCACUGACACACGGGCCAGACUCCUACGGGAGGCAGCAGUGAGGAAUAUUGGGCAAUGGGCGAAAGCCUGACCCAGCAACGCCGCGUGAGGGAUGAAGGCCUUCGGGUUGUAAACCUCUUUCUGGGUGAAGAGACAAGGACGGUAUCCCAGGAAUAAGUCUCGGCUAACUACGUGCCAGCAGCCGCGGUAAU